UACAUGCAACAAAGCCCUUCUCUUACGGGAAGGGCGCACUUAUUAGAUCAAAACCAAUCGGGGUUCGCUCCGCAGGUUUGAUGACUCUGGAUAAUUUUUCUGAUCGCACGACGAUUCUGUUGGCGACGUAUCUUUCAAAUGUCUGCCCUAUCAACUUAAGAUGGUAGGUGAUUUGCCUACCAUGGUUAUAACGGGUAACGGGGAAUCAGGGUUCGAUUCCGGAGAGGGAGCCUGAGAAACAGCUACCACAUCCAAGGAAGGCAGCAGGCGCGCAAAUUACCCACUCUCAGUUCGAGGAGGUAGUGACGAAAAAUAACGAUGCGGGACUCAAUCGAGGCCCCGUAAUUGGAAUGAGUACACUUUAAAUCCUUUAACGAGGAUCAAUUGGAGGGCAAGUCUGGUGCCAGCAGCCGCGGUAAUUCCAGCUCCAAUAGCGUAUAUUAAAGUUGUUGCAGUUAAAAAGCUCGUAUGGAAUCUGAGGAUUCGGACGGAUGGUUCACUUUAGGGUGGUACUGUCUGUUCAGCCUACAUAGUCGUGGAUAUCUUUGGUGCUCUUCAUUGAGUGCUUUUGGUGCCCGACGCGUUUACUUUGAAAAAAUUAGAGUGCUUAAAGCAGGCCUUGUGCUUGGAUAGUGUUGCAUGGAAUAAUGGAAUAGGACUUCGAUUCUAUUUUGUUGGUUUUCGGAAUCGAAGUAAUGAUUAACAGGGACAGACGGGGGCAUUUGUAUGGUGGCGUUAGAGGUGAAAUUCUUGGAUCGCCGCCAGACAAUCUACUGCGAAAGCAUUUGCCAAGAAUGUUUUCACUAAUCAAGAACGAAAGUCAGAGGUUCGAAGACGAUCAGAUACCGUCCUAGUUCUGACCAUAAAUGAUGCCAACUGACGAUCCAUAGCGGUUGCUCGUACGACCCUUUGGGCAGCCCCCGGGAAACCAAAGUUUUUGGGUUCCGGGGGAAGUAUGGUUGCAAAGCUCAAACUUGAAGGAAUUGACGGAAGGGCACCACCAGGAGUGGAGCCUGCGGCUUAAUUUGACUCAACACGGGAAAACUCACCCGGCCCGGACACUGUAAGGAUUGACAGAUUAACAGCUCUUUCUUGAUUUGGUGGUUGGUGGUGCAUGGCCGUUCUUAGUUGGUGGAGCGAUUUGUCUGGUUAAUUCCGAUAACGAACGAGACUUUAACCUGCUAAAUAGAAUGCUGGUAAAAGCCGGUACUGACUUCUUAGAGGGACUAACGUCGUUUAGACGUAUGAGAAAGAGCAAUAACAGGUCUGUGAUGCCCUUAGAUGUUCGGGGCCGCACGCGCGCUACACUGACGGCAACAGGUAGUAUGAUCCUGGACUGAAAAGUUUGGGUAACCUGCAUGAAACGCCGUCGUGACAGGGAUCGGGGCUUGCAAUUGUUCCCCGUGAACGAGGAAUUCCCAGUAAGCGCAAGUCAUAAGCUUGUGCUGAUUACGUCCCUGCCCUUUGUACACACCGCCCGUCGCUACUACCGAUUGAAUGGUUUAGU
rnacentral:rRNA from 1 species